GACGAACGCUGGCGGCGUGCUUAACACAUGCAAGUCGAACGGAAAGGCCCUGCUUUUGUGGGGUGCUCGAGUGGCGAACGGGUGAGUAACACGUGAGUAACCUGCCCUUGACUUUGGGAUAACUUCAGGAAACUGGGGCUAAUACCGGAUAGGGGCUCCUGCUGCAUGGUGGGGGUUGGAAAGUUUCGGCGGUUGGGGAUGGACUCGCGGCUUAUCAGCUUGUUGGUGGGGUAGUGGCUUACCAAGGCUUUGACGGGUAGCCGGCCUGAGAGAGUGACCGGCCACAUUGGGACUGAGAUACGGCCCAGACUCCUACGGGAGGCAGCAGUGGGGAAUAUUGCACAAUGGGCGGAAGCCUGAUGCAGCAACGCCGCGUGCGGGAUGACGGCCUUCGGGUUGUAAACCGCUUUCGCCUGUGACGAAGCGUGAGUGACGGUAAUGGGUAAAGAAGCACCGGCUAACUACGUG
rnacentral:rRNA from 1 species